rnacentral:rRNA from 1 species
GAUGAACGCUAGCUACAGGCUUAACACAUGCAAGUCGAGGGGAAACGGCAUUUAGUGCUUGCACCGAAUGGACGUCGACCGGCGCACGGGUGAGUAACGCGUAUCCAACCUUCCCAUAACUAAGGAAUAACCUGCCGAAAGGCAGACUAAUACCUUAUGUAAUCCUUUGAUGGCAUCAGAUAAGGAUAAAAGAUUUAUCGGUUAUGGAUGGGGAUGCGUCUGAUUAGCUUGUUGGCGGGGUAACGGCCCACCAAGGCAACGAUCAGUAGGGGUUCUGAGAGGAAGGUCCCCCACAUUGGAACUGAGACACGGUCCAAACUCCUACGGGAGGCAGCAGUGAGGAAUAUUGGUCAAUGGACGGAAGUCUGAACCAGCCAAGUAGCGUGCAGGAAGACGGCCCUAUGGGUUGUAAACUGCUUUUGUAUGGGGAUAAAGUCAAUCACGUGUGAUUGUUUGCAGGUACCAUACGAAUAAGGACCGGCUAAUUCCGUGCCAGCAGCCGCGGUAAUACGGAAGGUUCGGGCGUUAUCCGGAUUUAUUGGGUUUAAAGGGAGCGUAGGCCGAAGAUUAAGUGUGUUGUGAAAUGUAGACGCUCAACGUCUGACUUGCAGCGCAUACUGGUUUCCUUGAGUACGCACAACGUUGGCGGAAUUCGUCGUGUAGCGGUGAAAUGCUUAGAUAUGACGAAGAACUCCGAUUGCGAAGGCAGCUGACGGGAGCGCAACUGGCGCUGAAGCUCGAAGGUGCGGGUAUCGAACAGG